rnacentral:rRNA from 1 species
GACGAACGCUGGCGGCGUGCCUAAUACAUGCAAGUCGAGCGAAUCUUUAGGAGCUUGCUCCUGAAGGUUAGCGGCGGACGGGUGAGUAACACGUGGGCAACCUGCCUGUAAGACUGGGAUAACUUCGGGAAACCGGAGCUAAUACCGGAUAAUCCUUUUCCUCACAUGAGGAAAAGCUGAAAGACGGUUUCGGCUGUCACUUACAGAUGGGCCCGCGGCGCAUUAGCUAGUUGGUGAGGUAACGGCUCACCAAGGCGACGAUGCGUAGCCGACCUGAGAGGGUGAUCGGCCACACUGGGACUGAGACACGGCCCAGACUCCUACGGGAGGCAGCAGUAGGGAAUCUUCCGCAAUGGACGAAAGUCUGACGGAGCAACGCCGCGUGAGCGAUGAAGGCCUUCGGGUCGUAAAGCUCUGUUGUCAGGGAAGAACAAGUACCGGAGUAACUGCCGAUACCUUGACGGUACCUGACCAGAAAGCCACGGCUAACUACGUGCCAGCCGCCGCAGUAAGAC